GACGGAGGAUGCAAGCGUUAUCCGGAAUGAUUGGGCGUAAAGCGUCCGCAGGUGGCAAUGUAAGUCUGCUGUUAAAGAGUCUAGCUCAACUAGAUAAAAGCAGUGGAAACUACAUAGCUAGAGUACGUUCGGGGCAGAGGGAAUUCCUGGUGUAGCGGUGAAAUGCGUAGAGAUCAGGAAGAACACCAGUGGCGAAGGCGCUCUGCUAGGCCGUAACUGACACUGAGGGACGAAAGCUAGGGGAGCGAAUGGG
rnacentral:rRNA from 1 species